CUGAGUGCCACUCCGGGUUUCCUUAAACGCCUCCAGGGAUGGUGACUCCACCACCUCCCCGGGCAGCCCCAAUGUCCAGUCACUCUUUCUAUGAAGAAAUUCUUCCUAAUGUGCAACCCAAGCCUCUCCUGUCACAGCUUAAGAUCGUGUCCUCUCGCUUUGUCGCUGGUUGUGUUGAAGAUCCUGUUCUGGCACCUGAACAUCUGAGUAGGAGUGCCCAUAACAUGAGGAUUCCCCUGCUGCUGUUCUGUCAUCAGACCCAGGGUACAACAUCAGAUCAAGAUGUGCCCAAAUAUCUGGCACUGGGCUAGAAAUAGCUCUAGCAAAUGAUCUGUAGACUUAGAACUAUAACGUGAGUGACGUGGUGGAGGGCAAAAUGCAUGUCUGAAUUUUCCAGCUUGAUCCAUUUGCUAAAAUCAGAGGAAAAUCUGAAGAGAAAUCUGACCUUCUCUUUCUUAGGAGGAUUUUGUAGAAACUUCUUAAGCUCAUAAAUUGAAUUCAAAAGGAGAAAGGAACUUGUUUGUGAAUCCAGUUUUGACAUAACUCAGAAUAAUGAAAAUAGAACUGGACAAGACAUUUUGAAGAACUUUCUACAAUCCCAGUUUUGAAGCAUCUCAAAACACUUCAUAAAGUUGAGUAGUGCUCAAGUUCAAGUCUAGGAAGGACAGGCUUCAUCUCAAAACCUAAGUGACAAACUAAACAUAUUCCAGCUCUAAAUUUGAUCACACAUGGAUUGGGAGCAUUAGUGGUGAUACAGAGGGGAAGUGCCACACCUGAGCCUCCCCAGACCACCUACAGCACUCAGUGCAUGAGCACAAUGAGACCUCAGGGUUUCUAGGUCCUCCCUCCAAGCACAUUUGGAGCACUUGUGAGUAUCAGACUUUCAAUACAUAAUUUGAGGCCUGAUUCAGUGUGGAUCACAAGGUGGUGCAAUUUCAGUGAAACUACUGCUUCUUAUCCUACAGCUGUUAAUUUAAUUCACUUGUGUGAUUUUGAAAGACUCUGAAAAUGAAGAAUUACUCAAAACAAUCUCUAGUGACUAUGAAUGUUCUUACAGCCCUUACCAGAAGGUGAAUGUUGUGGUGUAAAGAUACAGCAACAGGAAUUCACUGUCUGUCCCAUGAGCAGGUGCAGUCCUCAGGGUCAGUGUUGCUCCAGGCACAACUUGCUGACCGGUGUCAUGCUUGGUGUUGAUGUUUGAUAUAGAUCUCUUGAUCACCAGCUUCUUCAUGUAAGCUGAGGCCAGACAAUCAAAGGCAAAGACCAGUGUCACAUUAAUGACAGAGGGCAUAAAGUUCUUAGAAUUUAUUUUUAGUUCACCAAACCACUCUAGUCCAGAGGUUAGAUUAUUUAAAGCAAGUGUUGCUGUACACCCAACACAUGAUAUUUUCUCCCAUGGUGCCUCAGUUCCACAUGCUCAUGUCAAUUCCAUGUGAACUACAGCAUAUUGCAAAGCUGUGUCGUAUUCUUUUAAUUUUUACACUGAAGGAUUUCAAAUGGAACCUAACAUAAUUAGAUUACAUGUAAUCUCUUCCCAUUUUGAUCCUAUUCUCGAGAGUGUUUGCAAAGGAGCUUACUUGAGUCUUAAAUGCACAACUUGAACUCACUCUGACGGAGAUGAAUAAGAGCGGCACACUCUUAGGAAAACAUCCUGAUGUGCAGGACAAAGCCUCAUGGCUUUAUCCAGUGAAGUAGGUAUUUCCGUGGCCAGUGUCCGCUUCAAAAUCCUCGACACACAAUUUUUUAAACUCCUGCACAAAAUCUAUAGCAAAUUGAUUCAGAGUCUUUCCUUAUCCAUUUGUCUCCUGAAUCAACGUGGACUCCUAUUAAUACCUGCUUGUCCUGGGGCUUCCAGAGAGCCGUGUGGUUUCUAUUCAGGUGUCAGCCAUGGAGAUAAACUGCAGUUCAGAAGGGUUUUCAAACAGCCAUCACCUUCCUGGGAGUACAUUAAAAGAGAUUAUGCGUUGCCAGACAGCAAGUCUUGUCAGGUCAGGGCAAAACAACAUUUUAAGCCGAUUGGCUCAUAUAUCUCAAGGUAUGUGUGUCCUUGCACAAAUUCACUUUCCCCUCAACCCAGUAUUUAAGAAAAUCCACCUUUCAUGAUGUUGAUCGAUCUGAAGUGUGGUCAGAUUGAAUCCUGCUUAUUAUCUCGAGGUUACCAAAGGAAAAACAUCUCCAGAUGUGAUAGUAAAUUACUGGAUUGUAAGGAAACUUUGAGGAACACAGCCUGUUAUUUGGUAGUCGAUGCCUCACCUUUCAGAAAGCUCUUUCUUGCAUAAAAAGGAUAAAGCAUGUUUACAGUUCAAAGGUAUUUGCUGAAACCUUGUGAAGCUUCAUCCUGCUUUACAGCCUCAAGCUGGCUUUGUUUGCCAAAGGUGAGGGGUGCCUUUAUCAGUGAUGGUGCUGUGUGCAGGGGCCUUGGCUUCCCUACAGGAUGAAAUGGGGUACCUGGUGUAAACACCAUCCACAGCAGGGUCUGUGAGCACACCCUCUUCACUAGCUGGGAGCCUGAGUAACCCCAUGUCCCUGUGUUUGAGCAGCCUGGCCCUGGGAAAUGCAGCAGUGGCCUUUCCUGGGAAAUGAACUCUGUUCCUCAUGGUGUGAAACAGCUUGAGGGAGCAUGCCCACCCUCUCGUUGGCUUGUUUCACUCUAUGGUUGCCAUAUGGGCUUAGUUAGGGAGAAGUGCGACAGGACUUCCACUUCCUUGGCAAGCUCUUGCUGCAGUUAAGGAAACCUUCACGCUGCUUUACCCCGAACAGGAGGCUGACCGAACACAGAUGGCUCAAGGCAGAGGGGGAAGAACGUGUUUAAAUGCAAAGCUCGACUUGCAUCCCCCACUUCAUGUUGUGCUACAUAAAUUCUACAUGAAGCGGAGCUGGGAAAAGACUCUAAAUAUCACAUUGCUGGAAAAAAAUUAUUUUGAUCUUUCACAAGGAGCUUUACCUGAACGAACUGAAUAUAUUUCUGCUCCAUCAGCCAUUCACAUUUGUCUUUCUGCUGGUUUCAGCAGCAAAUGGAAAAGGUCAUAAAGAUUUAACUUUUGCACUACAUUAAACAAGUAAUUACACCUUUUGCAGGAUACACUAUCACAGCACAGAGUAUUGACACAUUUUAUUACAGGCUCCUGUUUUCAUUCGCUUGUAACUUCAUGAAAAUGAUUCCCCUUGAGGCUUUUAGAUUUGCUGGUGUCUAAGAAAUGAUUCUAUUUCUGUUAACUUUGAUUUGCUUUUGACAUUCUGGUGGUUAUGAGUGAGUGAUAAUAAACUUUAAUAAUGACUGUGCUCUGAAUGCUGACUCUGUAAAUACUGUCAUGAGAUUCUUGGUUUCCUGUCUUACUGUAACUCUACAUCAGAUCUGCACUUUAUAAAAAUGUAUCUUUCAGCUACUCUCCUGGAAAAUCACAAUAAGGCACACAAAAGAUGAAGCUGACGUUUUCUUUUGUUGUACAUCAUUGCCAAUAAGACCCAAUUUUCUGUCUUAUCUCUUCUUUUUCUUCAUUUUAUGUUCUACUUUUCCUUGAUUUGAAAGCUGUAUGAUUUGAUUAUAGCUUUUCCCUCUCUUUCACCAAAUCCCUUUGCCUUCUGCUGUGGGAACAGGAUGAAAUCCUGUUAACAAGAAUCCAAAACUCAGGUUCACGCAAAUAUCCGGAUUCAUGUUUUAAAGCCCAUCCCGUGCUUCAGUUUAGAUACAGCCCCACGUGUC